UACAGAGGUCUCAAGCGUUGUUCGGAUUCAUUGGGCGUAAAGGGUGCGUAGGCGGCGCGGUAAGUCGGGUGUGAAAGUCUUGGAGCUUAACUCCGAAACUGCAUUCGAUACUGCCGUGCUUGAGGACUUGGAGAGGAGACUGGAAUUCAUGGUGCAGCAGUGAAAUGCGUAGAGAUCAUGAGGAAGACCAGUGGCGAAGGCGGGUCUCUGGACAGUUCCUGACACUGAGACACGGAAGGCCCAGGGGAGCAAACGGGA
rnacentral:rRNA from 1 species